GCUAACUUUACAUAGUGAAGAAAAUUGACUUGUAUUGUUGUACACCUGAGUUUUUAGUCUGAAAUGCACACCUGCUCCCACUGAAGUGUAAUGAUGUGUUCAACAUUCUGCAUUGUACAGAACAGGCCUUCCAUAAAUAUUUACUCAAUCAGGUUGUCUUACUGUUCCAAAGUAUGUUAGUCAAGAAUAUUUAAGAUCAGCAUCUGCGCCUAAACACAAAUGAGAGAAUGUUAUAGAAAUGUAGAGUGUAUCAGUCUUAUGUAUACUAACAAGUUUGCCUGCUCCCAUUGUUUGGAAAUGCAAUGUGUACAGUUGAGAAAGACAUAUUUGAUUGAUGGCUUAAUAAUUAGUUCCCUGGGCCUUCAAACAUUUUUAAAAAGGGAGUCAUUAGAAAGCUGUCCUUUUAUCUUGGAUAUGCCAUCUAUACAGAUCAAAUUUCCACAAAAUAACAAAGGAUUCUGGAGAGUUACCUGGGUAAACUCAGUAACCUGGUAUUUUCUCUGGGUAACAAUGCUCUUGAAUUGUCAAUAAAAGAAAGGUUUGUGCUCUUUGGAUAAAUUUUGAAAGUAAUUGAAUGCAUGUAUAUCUGACCCAAGAAAGAAUAAACAACUCUUCUUAACUGUACAAGACCAAUUCCCAUAAUACAAACACAGUACUUUACCCUCAAGACCUCAAAUUAUUUCUACAACAAUCCUCUGAGGUAGAGUUUGGAAAUAGUUCCAU
rnacentral:lncRNA from 1 species